UGACUCAGUUUCCUGGGGGGUGACUGUAGCCUUCCCCACCUCCCCUCAGCUGAGCCUAGAAUAGAGAGGCUAGGUGCGUCCCCUGUGGGAGAGGCAUUGAAUAAAGUGAGGAUCCUUGCCUGAACCAUCCUAGCUCACAUUU
rnacentral:snoRNA from 1 species